rnacentral:rRNA from 1 species
AUUGAACGCUGGCGGCAGGCCUAACACAUGCAAGUCGAGCGGAUGAAGGGAGCUUGCUCCUGGAUUCAGCGGCGGACGGGUGAGUAAUGCCUAGGAAUCUGCCUGGUAGUGGGGGAUAACGUCUGGAAACGGGCGCUAAUACCGCAUACGUCCUGAGGGAGAAAGUGGGGGAUCUUCGGACCUCACGCUAUCAGAUGAGCCUAGGUCGGAUUAGCUAGUUGGUGGGGUAAAGGCCUACCAAGGCGACGAUCCGUAACUGGUCUGAGAGGAUGAUCAGUCACACUGGAACUGAGACACGGUCCAGACUCCUACGGGAGGCAGCAGUGGGGAAUAUUGGACAAGGGGCGAAAGCCUGAUCCAGCCAUGCCGCGUGUGUGAAGAAGGUCUUCGGAUUGUAAAGCACUUUAAGUUGGGAGGAAGGGCAGUAAGUUAAUACCUUGCUGUUUUGACGUUACCAACAGAAUAAGCACCGGCUAACUUCGUG